rnacentral:lncRNA from 1 species
ACCUCGCUCCCUGAUUUUAUUUAAAGAAUGGCAAUCUAUCUUUCCUUCCCCCUCCCUCCUUUAUUGUUAUAUUUUCUUACUUUCUACCCCCUGGGACCCUGAAUGGAAGAAUUUUCAUUUUCCAAGCUGGUGCUCAGCACCAUUUGUUGAAAAUACGAUUUCGUCUCCAUUGUAUUAUCCUUACUCUUUGUCAAAGAUCAGUCGAAUAUAUGAUUCAAUUAAAAAAAGAAAUGUAGGCCUCUUCACAUUGCCUAUUUCUUCUUGUGUGUAUUGGCAGGUUAUAACUUUUAAGGAGCUGGUUCUUAAAAAUUAGCUAGGCAUGGUGGCGCAUGCCUGUAAUCCCAGCUACUUGGGAG